UACGUAGGUGGCAAGCGUUGUCCGGAAUUAUUGGGCUUAAAGCGCGCGCAGGCGGCCUCUUAAGUCUGAUGUGAAAGCCCCCGGCUCAACCGGGGAGGGCCAUUGGAAACUGGGAGGCUUGAGUAUAGGAGAGAAGAGUGGAAUUCCACGUGUAGGCGGUGAAAUGCGUAGAGAUGUGGAGGAACACCAGUGGCGAAGGCGACUCUUUGGCCUAUAACUGACGCUGAGGCGCGAAAGCGUGGGGAGCAAACAGG
rnacentral:rRNA from 1 species